UACGUAGGGGGCAAGCGUUGUCCGGAUUUAUUGGGCGUAAAGAGCGUGUAGGCGGCCAGAUAGGUCUGUUGUGAAAACUCGAGGCUCAACCUCGAGACGCCGAUGGAAACCAUCUGGCUAGAGUCCGGAAGAGGAGAGUGGAAUUCCUGGUGUAGCGGUGAAAUGCGCAGAUAUCAGGAGGAACACCCGUGGCGAAGGCGGCUCUCUGGGACGGUACUGACGCUGAGACGCGAAAGCGUGGGGAGCGAACAGG
rnacentral:rRNA from 1 species